rnacentral:rRNA from 1 species
UACGGGGGGGGCAAGCGUUGUUCGGAAUUACUGGGCGUAAAGGGCUUGUAGGCGGCCAACUAAGUCAGACGUGAAAUCCCUCGGCUUAACCGGGGAACUGCGUCUGAUACUGGAUGGCUUGAGUGUGGGAGAGGGACGCGGAAUUCCAAGUGUAGCGGUGAAAUGCGUAGAUAUCUGGAGGAACACCGGUGGCGAAGGCGGCGUCCUGGACCAACACUGACACUGAUGAGCGAAAGCCAGGGGAGCAAACGGG